UGGGGAAUAUUGNGACAAUGGACCAAGAGUCUGAUCCAGCAAUUCUGUGUGCACGAUGAAGUUUUUCGGAAUGUAAAGUGCUUUCAGUUGGGAAGAAAAAAAUGACGGUACCAACAGAAGAAGUGACGGCUAAAUACGUGCCAGCAGCCGCGGUAAUACGUAUGUCACGAGCGUUAUCCGGAUUUAUUGGGCGUAAAGCGCGUCUAGGUGGUUAUGUAAGUCUGAUGUGAAAAUGCAGGGCUCAACUCUGUAUUGCGUUGGAAACUGUAUAACUAGAGUACUGGAGAGGUAAGCGGAACUACAAGUGUAGAGGUGAAAUUCGUAGAUAUUUGUAGGAAUGCCGAUGGGGAAGCCAGCUUACUGGACAGAUACUGACGCUGAAGCGCGAAAGCGUGGGUAGCAAACAGGAUUAGAUACCCUGGUAGUCCACGCCGUAAACGAUGAUUACUAGGUGUUGGGGGUCGAACCUCAGCGCCCAAGCAAACGCGAUAAGUAAUCCGCCUGGGGAGUACGUACGCAAGUAUG
rnacentral:rRNA from 1 species